rnacentral:rRNA from 1 species
GAUGAACGCUGGCGGCGUGCCUAAUACAUGCAAGUCGAGCGAACAGACGAGGAUCUUGCUCCUCUGACGUUAGCGGCGGACGGGUGAGUAACACGUGGAUAACCUACCUAUAAGACUGGUAUAACUUCGGGAAACCUGAGCUAAUACCGGAUAAUAUAUUGAACCUCAUGGUUCAAUAGUGUAAUACGGUUUUUCUGUCACUUAUUGAUUGAUCCGCGCCGCAUUAGCUAGUUGGUAAGGUAACGGCUUACCAAGGCAACGAUGCGUAGCCGACCUGAUAGGGUGAUCGACCACACUGGAAGAGAGAAACGGUACAGACUCCUAGGGGAGGAAGCAGUAGGGAAUCUUACGAAAUGGGGGAAAGGCUGACGGAGCAAAGCCGGGUGAGGGAUGAAGGUCUUAGGAUCGUAAAACUAUGUUAUUAGGGAAGAAGAAAAGUGUAAGUAACUAUGAACGUAUUGACGGUACCUAAACAGAAAGCCACGGCUAACUACGUG